rnacentral:piRNA from 1 species
UGGGAUUAAAAGGAUGUGCCACCUGCCU